rnacentral:rRNA from 1 species
UACAGAGGUCUCAAGCGUUGUUCGGAUUCAUUGGGCGUAAAGGGUGCGUAGGCGGCGCGGUAAGUCGGGUGUGAAAUCUCGGAGCUUAACUCCGAAACUGCAUUCGAUACUGCCGUGCUUGAGGACUGGAGAGGAGACUGGAAUUUACGGUGUAGCGGUGAAAUGCGUAGAUAUCGUAAGGAAGACCAGUGGCGAAGGCGGGUCUCUGGACAGUUCCUGACGCUGGAGGCACGAAGGUCAGGGGGAGCAAACGGG